GUCUCCAUCGUCUAGUGGCCUAGGACACCGGGUUCUCAUCCCGGCAACAGGGGUUCGACUCCCCUUGGAGAUGCCA
rnacentral:tRNA from 2 species